UAAGCAGGAAUGAUGAUGGGAUCCAGGUGCUCAGCUGGAUUAUUUGGUCUUUAGUGUAUGGACAGAUGUCCUGCACUCUUUUUAUAUGAUUCUUGGGGUGAUUAUUAUAAAAUA